AUUGAACGCUGGCGGCAGGCCUAACACAUGCAAGUCGAACGAGUGGCGGACGGGUGAGUAAUGUCUGGGAAACUGCCCGAUGGAGGGGGAUAACUACUGGAAACGGUAGCUAAUACCGCAUACCAUCGGAUGUGCCCAGAUGGGAUUAGCUAGUAGGUGGGGUAACGGCUCACUUAGGCGACGAUCCCUAGCUGGUCUGAGAGGAUGACCAGCAACACUGGAACUGGGAGAGGGUCCAGACUCCUACGGGAGGCAGCAGUGGGGAUUAUUGCACAGUGGGCGAAAGCCUGCUGCAGCAAUGCCGCGUAUAUGAAGAAGGCCUUCGGGUUGUAAAGUACUUUCAGCGAGGAGGCGUUACUCGCAGAAGAAGCACCGGCUAACUCCGUGCCAGCAGCCGCGGUAAUAC
rnacentral:rRNA from 1 species